rnacentral:rRNA from 1 species
UACGUAGGUCCCGAGCGUUGUCCGGAUUUAUUGGGCGUAAAGCGAGCGUAGGCGGACUUUUAAGUGAGAUGUGAAAUACUCGGGCUCAACUUGAGUGCUGCAUUUCAAACUGGAAGUCUAGAGUGCAGGAGAGGAGAAUGGAAUUCCUAGUGUAGCGGUGAAAUGCGUAGAGAUUAGGAAGAACACCAGUGGCGAAGGCGGCCUACUGGACGGUGACUGACGCUGAGGCUCGAAAGCGUGGGGAGCAAACAGG